rnacentral:rRNA from 1 species
GCUCAGGUGUGCCAGCCGCCGCGGUAAUACGUAGGGGGCAAGCGUUAUCCGGAUUACUGGGUGUAAAGGGAGCGUAGGCGGUCCGUUAAGUCAGCGGUAAAAUUGCGGGGCUCAACCCCGUCGAGCCGUUGAAACUGGCAGACUUGAGUUGGCGAGAAGUACGCGGAAUGCGCGGUGUAGCGGUGAAAUGCAUAGAUAUCGCGCAGAACUCCGAUUGCGAAGGCAGCGUACCGGCGCCAGACUGACGCUGAGGCACGAAAGCGUGGGGAUCGAACAGG